AGAACGCUGGCGGCGUGCUUACACAUGCAAGUCGAGCGGUAAGCCCUUUCGGGGGUACACGAGCGGCGAACGGGUGAGUACACGUGGGUGAUCUGCCCUGCACUUCGGGAUAAGCCUGGGAAACUGGGUCUAAUACCGGAUAUGACCAAAGGCUGCAUGGCUUUUGGUGGAAAGGUUUACUGGUGCAGGAUGGGCCCGCGGCCUAUCAGCUUGUUGGUGGGGUAAUGGCCUACCAAGGCGACGACGGGUAGCCGACCUGAGAGGGUGACCGGCCACACUGGGACUGAGACACGGCCCAGACUCCUACGGGAGGCAGCAGUGGGGAAUAUUGCACAAUGGGCGAAAGCCUGAUGCAGCGACGCCGCGUGAGGGAUGACGGCCUUCGGGUUGUAAACCUCUUUCAGCAGGGACGAAGCGAAAGUGACGGUACCUGCAGAAGAAGCACCGGCCAACUACGUGCCAGCAGCCGCGGUAAUACGUAGGGUGCGAGCGUUGUCCGGAAUUACUGGGCGUAAAGAGCUCGUAGGCGGUUUGUCGCGUCCUCUGUGAAAACCAGCAGCUCAACUUGCUGGCUUGCAGGCGACUACGGGCAGACUUGAGUACUGG
rnacentral:rRNA from 1 species